rnacentral:rRNA from 1 species
AUGGCGAAUGGUUCAAGAUUGGGAACAGGGGCGCCUCCUCUGUUUUCGUCCCCUGUUUCCGCCGCCUCCUACACUCGUGACCAGGCGCCUCACCGCCUUCUCUCCGCCCAUACUUUGGUGCCGCCGGACCACAUCUGUCCGUCUUUUCCCGCGUCUCUCCACUCCCGCAUCUGCUGUCUCCAGAUUUGGCGCCCGCCACGCCGUGCGCUCGCCGCCGGCACGCCCCCCAGCCACUCCCUCUUCCUCCGCUCUUCUUCUUCUUCCUCCCUCUCCUUGUUGGUUGCAGUUGGUGUACAUGAUCCUUGGGCGCAGCUACCAAACUCUGUAGCAAGAGAUGAUCAAUCCACGGCAGCAAGCAGCAUGUCCAGAACUUGGCACACAUAG